rnacentral:rRNA from 1 species
GAUGAACGCUAGCGGCAGGCUUAAUACAUGCAAGUCGAACGGUAAGUUUGGUAGCAAUAUCAAACCAAGAGUGACGUACGGGUGCGUAACACGUAUGCAACCUACCUUGUACAGGAGUAUAGCUCGGGGAAACUCGAAUUAACCCUCAUGAGAUCAUAGAAUGGCAUCAUUUAGUGAUUAAAACUCAGGUGGUACAAGAGUGGGCAUGCGUCUGAUUAGAGUUGGCGGGUAAUGGCCCACCAAGACGAUGAUCAGUAGGGGACCU